AAGCUCAAUACUUAGCUAGCAUGUCAUGUAUAGUUAAUUUUGAGAAAACGGUUCACACUUUUAGAAAGGUACACGACCCUUCGACUUCUCUUCACUGUUCCAGUUAAUGAAUCUAUGGUCCCAAUACAACUACAACCGUCACCUCUCUAUCUUCAUCCCGCCCCUUCCUUAUCUCCUCUCUUUUCUUUUUUUUUCGCUCUUUUCUAUCAACAUCAAUUUUCUCUCUCACCUUUUUCUGUGCACCAUGGUAUCCCCCUCUAUCUCGCUCGAACUAAUGCUUACUCCUAUUA
rnacentral:lncRNA from 1 species